rnacentral:sRNA from 1 species
AAAAAAAAGAUUAUUAUUAAAAAUUUGAUUGAAUGGGUAUAAAUUCCUCACUUUAAGUGACCUACAUAAAUUUAUUAAAGCGCAAACUUAUUUGGCUUGCACUUGUACAUGGCUAAAAAAAACACAAUAAUUGAUUGAGAAGCUUAAUAAAUUAUUCAAUCGAUAUGAUGGUGGCUUUUUAAGGCCAUUGUGCAAAACCAUUGCAGUUGUUUAGGCCUGCCCUAUUUCGAAUAGCAUACAUUUGUGAGUUUCCAGCUGUUGCAUAAGACAUGUGCAUACACUGAGGCAAACUGGUGCCCACUCAACCCACAUCUGGCCCAAUUAAGCUGUCACAAUGUCGGUGGAGAGCCGUAACCCGCCCAGUUAUGAACGAUUUCCCAGUCUCGUAUUUUUGCGACCAUGCGAUGCAUGGGUAUUCGCAAUUUCCUACUGGCCUGAGUCAGCGCAUUUUGCCAGCGAUGUUAAUUGAAAUUUGUGAAUUCAAAAUUCUAGUUUACAGCUGGCCUGGGCGGAAUAGCCAUGUUCGAUGCAAUGAAAUAACGUCGAAAUACGAGGCAGACGGCCACGAAAUCAGCUUUGACAAAUAACUGAUCAGGCAAGCGAAUCGCUGCAGCGGCAGAAUGGUUUGCUGAUUGCAAUUAAAACAUGUUCCAAUCGGAAUGGGAGUUAAAAUUUGAGGAGCCAAGAUAUUUCGACGGUUGUCUUUUGUCUGAAUUGAAUCGCAUAAUAAUUACAAGCUGAACCAGUGAUCCGAUUUCAAUGCAAUCAGCCUCUCAACCUCAACAGCUUCAUAUGUAUUUCCAUUAACAACUCUACAAAUAGUUCUAAGCUGAUUGCUCUCUAAUUACAGUGCAAAUUGAGAGGGAAAUUAAUAGCUAUUGUGGAGUAUUUUCAGCCAAUCAGGUUGAGCUAAUAUUAAAUAAUUGUUAUUUCUCCUAAUUGCCGACCACCUUUUACGUGAACUUUCUCAUAAUAUGCAUUGCCUGAUCUGUGCACUUUGAACCGAGUUAAAUUAGCAAUUGCCCGCCAAUUACCUGCAGUGUGCAAUGAUUAGGCCGGCAAAUAGCUUAUACAACUACAUUAUAGAACUACCUAAAACACCACGCCUUUGACCUCCGAAUCAUCUAGAACCUAGGUGCAUCUCGCGGCAUGUGCAUCCGCAAGUGGCAAACAAUGAAGUCAUCAUCGGGGAUUUAAAAAAGGGGCUGGACCAACUGAGUCCCAAUAGAUCAACAGUCGCUCGGCCACAGCUUGGUGUGAAAAAACCGGAUUCCGACUUGUUAACCAACUCGCCUAUGACAGAUCUGUCAUAAUAUGGGGGUCAGCUAAGGUCGCACUUUGGUCGGCUAUCGUCUUAUAGCCAUUGCCGUUUCGCAAGUACCCAUAACCGGCAGCUCGUGCGGUUAAGUUUCCGUAUCUUUGACUUACGACCCAGCACUUGAGGCCUGCACUUGGCAAUGAAUAUGGCCCGUUGUUUGCCCAAAACGGAGGCAUGAUUGGUCAAUACACAGACAGACAUACACUAAAAACGGACAGUAAAAAUUUACUGAUGUAUGAUUUAAAUUUUUAAGAGGAAUCUAAUAAAGAUAAAGAGAACAUUGCACCCUUUUAAUCUUAUAUAUUUUUCCUUAUAUUUGAGACAAAGAGAGUGGGAUUGUUAACGAAGUUUUUCCUUAAUUUUCUUCCAGUGCAAUGACGUCAGACUCCGUCGCAUGCGGUUCCGGCUAAUACGAAAUGCAAAUGAUUGCAAAGUGUAUGCAAUUUGGACACUACCCAUUAAAUAAAAUAUAAAAACUGUGAUAUAUCCAUGGAAAUCUAGAAGCUUCAAGCAUGCGAAUGUGAUUUCUAUUUAUGAGCACACGAGUUGUGUGUCUGGGUUCAUAAAUUUUCCAGCUUCCAAUUGAAUCGCAUGUGCGCAAUGUCCGGGAAAUUGGCUAAGGGAGGAACAAGCGAAGCAGUCGCUAGGUCGUCGGAGCAUGACAAGGAUUAGCGUGGAGGGGAUGACGCCCAGGACUACAAGGACUACGAGGACAGGGAUGACGACGACGACGGCGACGAUGAUGAUGAUGAUUGUAAUGAUGAUAUUGUACUGCUGUUGCUGGUGACAAUCAGUGCAAAAGAGGGAAAGAUGCAGAGCAGCCUAGUUGCACAGAGAACAAAGGACACAAAUAAUAUCUAACUCAUCAAUAAAAUGAUUAAAAUAAAAUGACAAAAAUGCCCAUUCAACUAAAUGCAUAAAUUAAAGCAAUACAAAGCUAGGGUACUCUAUUAUAAAGAAAAACGAAGGAAUAAUCUCCAAAUAUAAUUGAGAUUUCUUAACUGAUUAUUGAAUUUAAUGCUUUCAAUGCACUGAUUUUCAAAUUCUCCCAACUUUUCCCUUUAAUCUCAGUGCUCAGAAGCAGUUUCAGAAGCAAACUCCCUAGAAACUGGCGCCGCCGUCAGCAGCAUCAAGACAUAAAGUGCAUUGCGUCUGGGCGGUUAUCGGGGGAAUGAAAACUUGGUGGCUCAGGGGCUGGGUUUAGGUAUCAUCAGACAGCAAAUAACAUGCCAGAUGCAACUGCAGCUGCACACAAAGUGUUGCUGUUAUUUGUGCGACAAACGCAACACACAGCCGUAGGGUAAAAUGCGAAGGGGAGCUAGAACAAAUCUGUGCGACACCGACAAUCACUUUUCAGCCCAGCAGUUCACAUAAGCAAACAAACAAUGCGGCAAGCGCGGCUCACAUUCAACAUUUGGCAAAUCGAUCAAGUAUACGCCGUGUGGUAAGCUGGCAAAACUUGAAGUCAAAAUCCUUGCAAACGCACUCGCCCCAUAAGCCAAAAAAAUACGAAGGGAUUCAAGGCCCUCAACUGUUUAGCAUUUAUUUGCAUAUAAGAAGAAGAUUGCGCGCCCGCUUGUUUGCUCUUUUCUGGCUGAGUGUGUAAAUAUUUAAAGGCUUUUAUUGCUUUUCUCCUGGCGGGGCCAGAAUUUUUCAUUCAUAUUCGUGAAUGGCAAUAGCAGACACUGGGCAAAUUAUGCCCUCUUCAGAGCUUUAAAGACCUUUUAAGUCACUUCGGCCCCAGGGGAGGAGGGCAAGAAAGUUGUUCAAUCGAAACGACAAUUAAUUGGCUAAAAUAAAUAUUCACGACAAAAGGUCUCCGGGGUCUCCUGAAACAGUAAAAUACGAAUAUAAAUAAAGGGCAGCAAAACGAGCGUCAAAUGCACAUGAAAUGCACAAGUCAAAAGCCAUUUUGUUUUACCAUAAAAAUGAAAAUACAAAUUUAUAUGAUUGCAUUUUUAUACACAUCGCUUCGUCUCCAUAUUCAUGCAUACAGUUGUAAUCGAAGUAUUAGGAAAAUGUUGAUUAUUCAAAACAUUUAAUUACUGUUACUUAUUUAGACCACAAAAUGUUAUUUAUUUUAUUCUGUAAGAAAGUAAAAACCCUUGUUAUGUAAAAAUACAACUUUUUGUAGUGCUUUUACUUUGUUGAACACAGCUGUAUUUUCUGGAUAUAGGUAUAAAUAAAUAUCGGUGACAAAUGCUUUGUAUUUCUCUUUUAUUCAAGUGUUUGCAAUGACUAUCGCCAGGAAUUGUUUGGCUAUGAUUUAACUAACCGAAAAAAGAGGGUCAUUCGUAUGGGACUUUAAUAUUUCUGCAGUAAUUACUUUGCCUGGCAUUCAGUAUUCAAUUUGUAUUCUUUUAUAGAGUUCGCAUUGUAAUAAUUAACAGACGGCCUCACGCGAGCUGCAGACUUUGGUUUUGGUUUACGGUGUGAUGUGUGAAUUGUGCAAACAUUUUCCAAACAAUUAUGCACAGAUUUCCACGCUCAUUUUCAAGGUUCAGCUGUAGUUUCAACUAAAUUUAGUCAACACCAACGGCCAUCGGCCAACAAACCAACAACAGUGGCAAUAACAAUUAAAAAUGCGCUGGCAUUGCAUUUUAUUCGGUUUAACAGUUGAGCGCUUUCAGUCAAAAACAAACACUUCCAAAAAAA